rnacentral:rRNA from 1 species
AAUCAACGCUGGCGGCGUGCUUAACACAUGCAAGUCGAACGCGGUUACUGCCUCUCCGCAAGGAGAGAUGGUGACUGAGUGGCGAACGGGUGAGUAACACGUGGGUGAUCUACCCCUGAGUGGGGGAUAACGUUCCGAAAGGAACGCUAAUACCGCAUGACGUUCUGGGUUUGAAGACCUGGAAACCAAAGCUGGGGCCCUUAGGGCAACUUAAGGCCUGGCGCUUGGAGAGGAACCCGCGCCUGAUUAGCUAGUUGGUGAGGUUACGGCUCACCAAGGCGACGAUCAGUAGCCGGCCUGAGAGGGCGGACGGCCACACUGGGACUGAGACACGGCCCAGACUCCUACGGGAGGCAGCAGUUAGGAAUCUUGGACAAUGGGCGCAAGCCUGAUCCAG